ensembl:lncRNA
UGUCGUUCAAAAUAUGACAAAAACGUCAUAGUUUUAUACGUCGUCCAAAAUGUGACAAAAAUGUCAUAGUUUAGUAUGUCGUCCAAAAUGUGACAAAAAUGUCAUAGUUUAGUAUGUAGUCCAAAAUGUGACAAAAAUGUCAUAGUUUAGUAUGUCGUCCAAAAUGUGAAAAAAACGUCAUAGUUUAGUAUGUCGUCCAAAAUGUGACAAAAAUGUCAUAGUUUAGUAUGUCGUCCAAAAUGUGACAAAAACGUCAUAGUUUUAUACGUCGUCCAAAAUGUGACAAAAAUGUCAUAGGUUAGUAUGUCGUCCAAAAUAUAACAAAAAUGUCAUAGUUUAGUAUGUCGUCCAAAAUGUGACAAAAACAUCAUAGUU